rnacentral:tRNA from 1 species
GAGAUAUUAGUAAAAAUUACAUAACCUUGUCAGGGUUAAAUUAUAGGUGAAAUCCCUAUAUAUCUCU